AACUUUUUACCACCGGUAACGAUGGAUCCCUUGGCACGUCAUUCCAUGAAAACCGUUGCCAAUUGCGAUAAAGUGAUGGGAUGCCCAAGUCCACCACUUAUACCUGAAUCAUCGAAUUGGUGAACCCAUUGGACCGCGCCC
rnacentral:rRNA from 1 species